AUUGCUUAGAAUUGUAAUUCAUGUUGAAUUGAUGUAUGAUGUGUAGUGAGAUUGCACCACAUAGUAGUGGUACAUGGAUGGUUCUGCCUGAUUAAUCUGCAUAGGGGACUAUACUAUUACGUGUAUGCCUAUGGUCCUGCCUGGUUAUUUUUCAUUUAGGGACCAUACGCAUUCUUGGUGAUGACUUUGCUUAGUUAAUCGCAUUGAGGGGUCACUGCCAUCUGGUUACAUUAUAUCCAUAUGUGGGGUCAUUGCCUACUUAGUUACUUACUUCCAUAUGUGGUUCUUCCUGGUUAAUCCGUGUUGGAAGACCACACUAUUGGGCGUUUGCCUAUGGUUCUGCUUGGUUAAUCCGCAUUGGAAGACCAUACUCAUUCUAAGGGUGACUUUGCCUGGUUAAUCCACAUUUGGGGGCCACUGCCUACUUGGUCACACUAUAUCCAUAGGUGGUCCUGCUUGGUUAAUCUGCAUUGGGCGACCAUGUUAUCGGAUGGAUGCCUAUGAUUCAACUUGGUUAAUUCACAUUAGGGAGCAUACAUAUCUUGAGCGGGGUUACGUUGAGUAGUCUAGAAUCCCUAUUUUCAUUCGGUUCCAUUAAGUUGGUCAGGAACUAGAUCUCUACAAAUCUUUUAUGGUUCCUCUGUAUUGCUCUAGCCUUGAUUUUCUGCAAACAAUUGUAACUUGUUUGAAUUGAUAAAUUAUGGAUGACAUUAAUAUUGUUUACUGUCUAAAAGGAUUUCGUUACUCUAUAAUUCUCCUAUCCCCUGAAAAUUUAUGGCUUCACCACUAUUUGCAACAGUCGCCAGCAAUAGCACUAGUCUUGGCACUGCUUGACUUCCAAUUCUUUAAUGGACACUCAGAAACCACUUUCCAAAAUUGUUGAAUAUUUGGUUUCUCCACUAUAAAUAUUCCAACACUCGCAAAAAGUUUCAUAAUUGUUUGAA
rnacentral:lncRNA from 1 species